GGUGGCUCAGUGGUAGAGUGAUUGCCUUUCAUGCAUGAGACCCUGGGUUCAAUUCCUAAGCACCA
rfam:Dipodomys ordii contig_99409, whole genome shotgun sequence.